CCCUGGGUUAGUCGGGACCUAAGCUGAGGCCGAAAGGCGUAGGUGAUGGACAACAGGUUGAUAUUCCUGUACUACCGAUAACCGUGUGAGAGAAGGGAUGACACAGUAGGAUAAGCUAAGCACACUGUUGGUUAUGUGUGCCCAAGCAUUGAGGCAGUCAAAGUAGGCAAAUACGCUUUGAUAAUGCUGGGAUGUGAUGGGGAGCGAACUUUAGUAGCGAAGUAGCUGAUUUCACACUGUCAAGAAAAGUCUCUAUCGAGGUUAAAGGUACCCGUACCGCAAACCGACACAGGAGGGUGAGGAGAGUAUCCUAAGGCCAGCGAGAGAACUGUUGUU
rnacentral:rRNA from 1 species